UACGAAGGGGCUAGCGUUGCUCGGAAUCACUGGGCGUAAAGGGUGCGUAGGCGGGUCUUUAAGUCAGGGGUGAAAUCCUGGAGCUCAACUCCAGAACUGCCUUUGAUACUGAAGAUCUUGAGUUCGGGAGAGGUGAGUGGAACUGCGAGUGUAGAGGUGAAAUUCGUAGAUAUUCGCAAGAACACCAGUGGCGAAGGCGGCUCACUGGCUCGAUACUGACGCUGAGGUGCGAAAGCGUGGGGAGCAAACAGG
rnacentral:rRNA from 1 species